AAUUAUAUUUUGGGCAUAAAAUACAUUCAUAAAAGUUAAGGUUUGGUCAAAAAUAAUAAACCUAAAAGAAAAUGGAAAUUUUAGGGCAUUUUGUGUUAAAUGCCUAAUUUUGCCGAAAUGGGGAAUUUUAUUCCAUGAAUGGACCUUAGGUUAAAUUUUAUUAUGUGAUUAAUUAAAUUAAAUGUGAGAGACAUUUAAUUUAAUUAAUUAAUGUUAAGUUUGGUGAUUAAAACUUAAUAAGAGUGAAAAAAGGUGUCAAAAGUCAAUUUGGACUUUUCUUCUUAUAAACCUUUAUAAAAAAUAAAAAAAAUAAAAAAUAAAAUUAAUGGUCACAUAUAUGGAAAAGGGUGGCUGGCCAUGUGCUAUUUUAGAGUGGUGUGAACCCAAUUUUAUAAAAUUCAAAUCCCAUUUAAUUAAGAAGUCAAGUGGGCAAGUGGGUAGAAAAGCACUCAAGUGUUUUGUGAUAUUUUGAAGAGUUGUGUGAGCCAUUCUAACCCCCAAAUCCGACCACUCUCCCUCCCUCAUUCACUCUCAUCUGAUUUUUGAAGACUCUCUCAAGUGUUCUCUCCAUUUUGAACCCCAAGAACACCAAAGAAACUUGGAAGCUAAGUCUUGGUCUAGGAAGGGUUUUCCCUAAGUUGGUUAGGGUUUUUGAAAGGUUUUGAAGGAGUCAAAGCUUAUAGGAAGGUCCAAACCUUAAGCAAGAACACCAAAGAGUAUUGGCUAAGCGUAACUGGACUGAACGUUGGAGGGUGAAAACCUGCUGAGCGCUAAGGACUCCAAGUCAGUGCAAGGGCAAGGCAGAGCAGUGAGCG